rnacentral:lncRNA from 1 species
CAGUCAGUAAAAGCCUUCAUAGCCAAAGCAAAGUUAUACUCAAAGACUUUACCAUUCUGUUGCAUUCUAGCUCUUUGCUUCAGCAGCUUUUGAGGAUGUGGUACCACAUGAAUGAGGCUGGAUGAGAAGCUGGAGAAAACCAGCAGGGAGAAGAAAGCAUGUAUGGUCAGCACAGAGUUUACUUCUUGCUUUUUCUUCUAACUGCUAUUUUGAGACUAGGAAAAAGCUGACUUGGAAGACUUGUUCCUCUUGCUGUGCAGGCACUGACCCAGGAAGAGCUGGAUGCAGAGCCCAGCUGAAGCCACAGCAGCUGUGUGUAAGUGUGAAGUUUUUCCUCUCCUGGAGUCACAGUAAGAUCAGAGGUGGGAUUGUUUGCCAGUGGUUGCAACCUAAUUUCAGCUUCUUGGUUAUAUGCACUGGACUGUUACAUUUAUCUGUGUGCCACAGGGACUCUGAAGCACCCCUCUGAAUUGCUGUCACAGUGUGGAGGAUCUCUACCCCCCCGUUCAUCCACAGCUACAGUCACAGAAAAGCAAUCAAUCUCUUGGACUGACAAAGCUGCAGAGGCUAAAAGCUUCUAUUUCAAGGUUAUCAAGGAUGCAUAUUGCACUUUGUUUCCUCCACAUCCUAGAGAGCCUUUCCUAGAAGGGCUCUGUGAUGUGCUGCAGCAGGGCUCUAGACCUGGUUUCCCACAGGCAUAAAUAUGAGUGCAGGUGAGCAAAGGCUGAUAAUGUCUUAACCAAACCCACGGGUGAAGAAAUAGCUGCUUGACAGGAAUAUAUUAAAGUGAAAUACACGAAAUAUUCUGAUGAGCUGAAACACUACACCACUGGGAACUGUAUACAUUUGCAAUAGACUGCAUCCAGUGAGCAGUAAAAGAAAGUAAAGAUUUUGGGAAUAAGAGGAAACUGUUUUUAAGAUGAUUUCUAAUAAAAUCAGGCUUACAGAGUCA